rnacentral:lncRNA from 1 species
AGGAUAAUGGCAGCAGAAGGCAAAGGGAGCAGACAGCUGGCAAGCUCUGUCCCAAUAUGCUUCCCUGAAAGAGGCGAGGAAAUUUCAGAAGAUGCAAUGCCUGAAUGGCUCACUUUGCAGGAAAACAGAAGAACCAAGAGUGAACAGGAAACCUACAGAAUAGGAGAAAAUUUUUGCAAUCUACUCAUCUGACAAAAGGCUAAUAUCCAGAAUCUACAAAGAACUCAAACAAAUUUACAAGCACAAAACGAACAACCCCAUCAACAAGUGGGCAAAGGACAUGAACAGACACUUCUCAAAAGAAGACAUUUAUGCAGCCAACAGACACAUGAAAAAAUGCUCAUCAUCACUGCCCAGCUAAAUCUUGACUUCUAUUGAAGAAGUGAAGGAUGGAUUUUGUAAGCCUACCAGCAGCCAAAGGAGACUAAGAGGAGUCAUUCAGGAAUAUGAGGGUUAUGAAGACAGUGGUGUCCCAGAAACCAAGGAGAAGAGGAUGUUGCAUGAAGAAGGAGAUGAUGGUUUCACUUUGGUUACAUUUAUCCAAAUGCCCCGUCCAACUCUUCAGUGUCCCUAGUAAAAUCUGGUAUAGAGAUGGACACUGUUUUUUAGGUGAGGCCUGCUGAGUGUGGAGAGUUGUGAAAAAUUUUUCCCUUAAAUUGAGAAUGUUUUAAAUAAUGCAGCCUAUGUUUUCUUUAAGUAACAAGGCCAUCCCACUGACUCACACUGAUCUUGUUCUCAGCAAAAAACUCCCUGCUCUUCCUCAUAUUAAUUGCCAUAAAAACAAGUCACUUCUAUCAUGCAUUUGGCUCAUUG